rnacentral:rRNA from 1 species
GAUGAACGCUGGCGGCGUGCCUAAUACAUGCCAGUCGAGCGAACAGACGAGGAGCUUGCUCCUCUGACGUUAGCGGCGGACGGGUGAGUAACACGUGGAUAACCUACCUAUAAGACUGGGAUAACUUCGGGAAACCGGAGCUAAUACCGGAUAAUAUAUUGAACCGCAUGGUUCAAUAGUGAAAGACGGUUUUGCUGUCACUUAUAGAUGGAUCCGCGCCGCAUUAGCUAGUUGGUAAGGUAACGGCUUACCAAGGCAACGAUGCGUAGCCGACCUGAGAGGGUGAUCGGCCACACUGGAACUGAGACACGGUCCAGACUCCUACGGGAGGCAGCAGUAGGGAAUCUUCCGCAAUGGGCGAAAGCCUGACGGAGCAACGCCGCGUGAAUGAUGAAGGUCUUCGGAUCGUAAAACUCUGUUAUAAGGGAAGAACAAAUGUGUAAGUAACUAUGCACGUCUUGACGGUACCUAAUCAGAAAGCCACGGCUAACUACGUG